rnacentral:rRNA from 1 species
UCCAGACUCCUACGGGAGGCAGCAGUGGGGAAUAUUGCACAGUGGGGGAAACCCUGAUGCAGCAACGCCGCGUGAGUGAAGAAGUCAUUCGUGAUGUAAAGCUCUCUCAGCAGGGAAGAAAAUGACGGUACCUGUUUAGAAAGCUCCGGCUAACUACGUGCCAGCAGCCGCGGUAAUACGUAGGGAGCAAGCGUUGUCCGGAAUUACUGGGCGUAAAGGGCGCGUAGGUGGGCGCUUAAGUCAGGUGUGAAAACUCCGGGCUCAACCUGGAGACUGCACUUGAAACUGGGUGUCUUGAGGGCAGGAGAGGAAAGUGGAAUUCCUAGUGUAGCGGUGAAAUGCGUAGAUAUUAGGAGGAACACCAGUGGCGAAGGCGGAUGACUGGACGGCAACUGACGGUGAGGCGCGAAAGCGUGGGGAGCAAACAGGAUUAGAUACCCGCGUAU